rnacentral:rRNA from 1 species
UACGUAGGGGGCGAGCGUUGUCCGGAAUUAUUGGGCGUAAAGAGCUCGUAGGCGGUUUGUUGCGUCGGCUGUGAAAUCCCGAGGCUCAACCUCGGGUCUGCAGUCGAUACGAGCAAACUAGAGUGUUGCAGGGGAGACUGGAAUUCCUGGUGUAGCGGUGAAAUGCGCAGAUAUCAGGAGGAACACCGGCGGCGGAGGCGGGUCUCUGGGCAACAACUGACGCUGAGGAGCGAAAGCGUGGGGAGCGAACAGG